rnacentral:tRNA from 2 species
GGGCCCAUAGCUCAGUUGGUCAGAGCAGCGGACUCAUAAUCCGUUGGUCCUAGGUUCAAAUCCUAGUGGGCCCACCA